rnacentral:rRNA from 2 species
UGACCUGAAAUCAAGCAAGGAAACCCGCUGAACUUAAGCAUAUUAAUAAGCGGAGGAAAAGAAACUAACAAGGAUUCC